CCUACGGGUGGCAGCAGUGGGGAAUAUUGCACAAUGGGGGGAACCCUGAUGCAGCGACGCCGCGUGAGUGAAGAAGUAUUUCGGUACGUAAAGCUCUAUCAGCAGGGAAGAAAAAAGGACGGUAUCUGAGUUAGAAGCUCUGGCUAACUACUUGCCAGCAGCCGCGGGAAUACGUAGGGGGCAAGCGUUAUCCGGGAUUACUGGGUGUCAAGGGAGCGUAGAUGGCGAUGCAAGUCCGGAGUGGAAUGCGGCAGCUCAACUGCCGAUCUGCUCUGGAAACUGUAUGGCUUGAGUGCAGGAGGGGUGAGCGGAAUUCCAGGUGUAGCGGUGAAAUGCGUAGAUAUCAGGAGGAACACCGGUGGCGAAGGCGGCUUACUGGACUGUAACUGACGUUGAGGCUCGAAAGCGUGGGGAGCAAACAGGAUUAGAUACCCGAGUAGUC
rnacentral:rRNA from 1 species